rnacentral:rRNA from 1 species
UCGCGGCGGUGCGCGCANAAGGGUCUGGGCUCGAGCCUGCCUGGAGCCGCCGCCGGUGCAGAUCUUGGUGGUAGUAGCAAAUACUCCAGCGAGGCCCUGGAGGACUGAUGUGGAGAAGGGUUUCGUGUGAACAGCCGUUGCACACGAGUCAGUCGAUCCUAAGCCCUAGGAGAAAUCCGAUGCAAACGGCGAUGGGAAACACGCAUUGACUCGAGAGACAGAGACCCAUUGAUCGGGCGAAAGGGAAUCCGGUUCCUAUUCCGGAACCCGGCAGCGGAACCGUUGUUUGUCGGGCCCUCGCAAGGGGUUCGUCAGGGCAACCUAAAAGGGCCCGGAGACGCCGUCGGGGGCCCCGGAAAGAGUUUUCUUUUCUGCAUGAGCGUUCGAGUUCCCUGGAAUCCUCUCGCAGGGAGAUAGGGUUUGGAACGCGAAGAGCACCGCAGUUGCGGCGGUGCGCGGGAAUUCCCGACGGACCUUGAAAAUCCGGGAGAGGGCCACGUGGAGGUGUCGCGCCGGCUCGUACCCAUAUCCGCAGCAGGUCUCCAAGGUGAAGAGCCUCUAGUC